rnacentral:rRNA from 1 species
CCAGCAGCCGCGGUAAUUCCAGCUCCAAUAGCGUAUAUUAAAGUUGUUGCAGUUAAAAAGCUCGUAGUUUGAUUUCAAGAGACGCAGCGUGGAUAACACGUCUGCCCUCUACCAGUCUUAGACUGUUACUGUGAGAAAAUUAGAGUGUUUCAAGCAGGCUGUUGCAGGAAUACAUUAGCAUGGAAUAACGAGUGUGUCUAGAAUCUUGGUUAAUUCUAGAUUACGAUUAAUAGGGAUAGUUGGGGGCAUUAGUACUUCACUGUCAGAGGUGAAAUUCUCGGAUUUGUGAAAGACUAACUUAUGCGAAAGCAUUUGCCAAGGAUGUUUUCAUUGAUCAAGAACGAAAGU